CACAGAAAUAUCUGAUUUCAAAGAGAUGCUCGCAUUCUAUACUGAUCCCAUCUGGGAGUAUAAAUGCCCAAUGUCACGCUGCCGAGUGGAGAAAGGAGAAAGAUGGUUCCCUGCACUGUUCUAAUUCAGAGGAUGGAAGCAUGGUAAAGCAAGAAGACAUCCAUCUACAAUCCAGGAAGAGGACUAUCACCAGAACACCAUGCUGCUGGCACUCUGAUCUUGGACCUCCAGCCUCCAGAAUUUUCAGAAAUAAAUUUCUAUUGUUUAAGUCACCCAGUUUAUGUUAUUUGUUAUAGUUGUGCAAACUGAUUGAGACAACAGUGAUUGUCAUCUCUUACUAAAGUAGACUUCUUACUUGUUCCUUCUAAUAUCCAACUCCAAUAAUCCUCAGACAUCACUAGAACCUAUACUUAGUCCUACUAUCCUCAUUCUCACUACCCUCGUCCAUCUCCCUACCUCUAUACGUGUUCAUAGGUCUUAUUUUGCUUAUUUUCCCGAGUGACCAUUGUUACCAACACCUAGCGUAUAUCCUCACCACUCCUCAUGCAUCAAAUUCUUGAUUAAAUCACAACCCUGGUUCGAAUUCAUCACCCACCAAUUUUGCUCAUGCUCCCAUGCAGCUGAGCAUGGCUAGAGAAAACACACAACUCUAGAUUUCACCACCCUCAUUGUCCUUUCCUACCUUUCAUAGCAUUCACCAAGUUCUUUCCUGUUGGACACUUUUGUUUGUGCUGUUCCUUUGUCCUGGAGUCGCCUCCUUUCCUUUUCAUAUGAGUCACCGCUCCUCAUUCUGUAGCUCUCAGUUCAAGUAUCACUUCCUACAA